UGAGGAAUUUUCCGCAAUGGGCGAGAGCCUGACGGAACAAUGCCGCGUGGAGGUGGAAGGCCUACGGUUCGUCAACUUCUUUUCUAGGAGAAGAAUCAAUGACGGUAUCUGAGGAAUAAGCAUCGGCUAACUCUGCGCCAG
rnacentral:rRNA from 1 species